GGGAAACAACCCAGACCGCCAGCUAAGGUCCCAAAGUCAUGGUUAAGUGGGAAACGAUGUGGGAAGGCCCAGACAGCCAGGAUGUUGGCUUAGAAGCAGCCAUCAUUUAAAGAAAGCGUAAUAGCUCACUGGUCGAGUCGGCCUGCGCGGAAGAUGUAACGGGGCUAAACCAUGCACCGAAGCUGCGGCAGCGACACUGUGUGUUGUUGGGUAGGGGAGCGUUCUGUAAGCCUGUGAAGGUGUGUCGUGAGGCAUGCUGGAGGUAUCAGAAGUGCGAAUGCUGACAUAAGUAACGAUAAAGCGGGUGAAAAGCCCGCUCGCCGGAAGACCAAGGGUUCCUGUCCAACGUUAAUCGGGGCAGGGUGAGUCGACCCCUAAGGCGAGGCCGAAAGGCGUAGUCGAUGGGAAACGGGUUAAUAUUCCCGUACUUGGUGUUACUGCGAAGGGGGGACGGAGAAGGCUAUGUUGGCCGGGCGACGGUUGUCCCGGUUUAAGCGUGUAGGUGUGUGUUCCAGGUAAAUCCGGUUCACUUUAACACUGAGGCGUGACGACGAGGCACUACGGUGCUGAAGCAACAAAUGCCCUGCUUCCAGGAAAAGCCUCUAAGCAUCAGGUAACAUCAAAUCGUACCCCAAACCGACACAGGUGGUCAGGUAGAGAAUACCAAGGCGCUUGAGAGAACUCGGGUGAAGGAACUAGGCAAAAUGGUGCCGUAACUUCGGGAGAAGGCACGCUGACACGUAGGUGAAGUGAUUUACUCAUGGAGCUGAAGUCAGUCGAAGAUACCAGCUGGCUGCAACUGUUUAUUAAAAACACAGCACUGUGCAAACACGAAAGUGGACGUAUACGGUGUGACGCCUGCCCGGUGCCGGAAGGUUAAUUGAUGGGGUCAGCGCAAGCGAAGCUCCUGAUCGAAGCCCCGGUAAACGGCGGCCGUAACUAUAACGGUCCUAAGGUAGCGAAAUUCCUUGUCGGGUAAGUUCCGACCUGCACGAAUGGCGUAAUGAUGGCCAGGCUGUCUCCACCCGAGACUCAGUGAAAUUGAACUCGCUGUGAAGAUGCAGUGUACCCGCGGCAAGACGGAAAGACCCCGUGAACCUUUACUAUAGCUUGACACUGAACAUUGAGCCUUGAUGUGUAGGAUAGGUGGGAGGCUUUGAAGUGUGGACGCCAGUCUGCAUGGAGCCGACCUUGAAAUACCACCCUUUAAUGUUUGAUGUUCUAACGUGGACCCGUUACCCGGGUUGCGGACAGUGUCUGGUGGGUAGUUUGACUGGGGCGGUCUCCUCCUAAAGAGUAACGGAGGAGCACGAAGGUUGGCUAAUCCUGGUCGGACAUCAGGAGGUUAGUGCAAUGGCAUAAGCCAGCUUGACUGCGAGCGUGACGGCGCGAGCAGGUGCGAAAGCAGGUCAUAGUGAUCCGGUGGUUCUGAAUGGAAGGGCCAUCGCUCAACGGAUAAAAGGUACUCCGGGGAUAACAGGCUGAUACCGCCCAAGAGUUCAUAUCGACGGCGGUGUUUGGCACCUCGAUGUCGGCUCAUCACAUCCUGGGGCUGAAGUAGGUCCCAAGGGUAUGGCUGUUCGCCAUUUAAAGUGGUACGCGAGCUGGGUUUAGAACGUCGUGAGACAGUUCGGUCCCUAUCUGCCGUGGGCGCUGGAGAACUGAGGGGGGCUGCUCCUAGUACGAGAGGACCGGAGUGGACGCAUCACUGGUGUUCGGGUUGUCAUGCCAAUGGCACUGCCCGGUAGCUAAAUGCGGAAGAGAUAAGUGCUGAAAGCAUCUAAGCACGAAACUUGCCCCGA
rnacentral:rRNA from 2 species